rnacentral:lncRNA from 1 species
CCCAGCAUUCCAUGUUACUGGGAAACUCAUAGUCUGGUUAGUUCUCUAGGAUCUUGAAUACCCUAAGGAUCUGAAGACAAAUUCAUCCAUCCCAAGAAAAAAAUAGGGAUAUAUAUAUAUAUAUGUGUAUAAAACUGUUGAUGAGGCUGUGCUACCACUCUCAAGGUAGUUCCUCAAGGAAAACUUGUAGGGACCAUCUUAGCUCUUGGAAGUUCAGUUGGUAAUCCUUAGUCUGGUCCUCCUUUUUAAAGGGGAGCAUUUCAGAAGAACUGGGCUGAUUUCUGGCUCUCAGCUUCACAGGGAAGGGAGCACAUCUCAGCACGGAACAGGGAGUGCCUUGCUUGGAGGAUUAUUUUUCUCCCCAGGCCAGGAUAAAUCCACACUCUGUGUCUGGGGUUUACUGUGCCCAGAUGUGCUCAGGGAGCUCCUGCUAAGGGCAGUCAGGAUCUUCAAAGACAGGGUGAGAUCAAAACGUGGCAAAGCCUCUCCCUUCCAG